rfam:Bacteroides sp. CAG:545 genomic scaffold, scf154
UGAGGUAUGGUGUAAUGGCAGCACAAGUGAUUUUGGUUCACUUAGUCCACGUUCGAGUCGUGGUAUCUCAA